CAUUUCCCCAGCAGAUCUUCCAUAGCUCCUUCUCUUUCUCUCUCUACGUUUUCACCAGCAGCCAACAAAUUUUGUUGAUUUGUAUAAACGAAAAUUGAUUAGUGUAGAUUAGUUUUGUGUGAAAUUACAUACAUGUUUAGCUUAAUUUAGUAAGGGAUAGUUAACUAAUUCAGAUGAAGCCAUUCUUAUAAAUAUAUCCUGACCACCUAUGAUUACUCUGAAGUCUUUGAGGUCAUUGAACCAAAGCAAGCAGCCGCUUCCCUCUCCUGUGAUAUUUGUAUUUGCAUCACCACCAUCUUCCAUCAACUCAAACCCAGCAACAUCCACCGCCACCUUCAAACCAUCACCAAGAAAGGAGACAAACACAGGUCUAGAGGGAGAAACUUUCAAGAGAGAGAACAUAUCAAGGCAUAUUUAUGUAUAUUAACUUGUUUGCGGAAAUUAGGGUUUCAUAACACUUCUAUUAUGUUGAAGAGGUUCAAUUUGUCUCCAUGUUGAAUAGAGGACCAUCAUUUCCCCUACUUGAAGGGCUUUUUGUUUCUGUGCUCAAUCAACCCAUCUCAUUCUGUAUUGGAGUCAAACCUUGAGUCUCACCUUAAGCGGUGCCCGUUGCUUAAACAUCAGAACUUGUUGUCUUUUCAACCUUUUUAUCAAAAAGGUAUUAAUGGGGGCGGUGAAGAAGAAUAAGAUGAUGAUCAUGAAGGUGUCAGCUCAGAGUCCAAGCGGAUGGCUGUGCAUUCCAUGACUGCUCCUCAAUUUAUCAAGCUAAUUGAAAAGAUUAAAUCUGUUCAUGCUGAGUUAUGUAAGGUUACUAGGUUAGUAACCCGUGUAUUACACGGUUUGAAAAAAAAAACACUAUAAAAUUAUAACAUAGAUCGAAUGUUUAAAA